rnacentral:lncRNA from 1 species
UCACACAUGCCAAAUCCUACCAGACAUAUUGAACUUUCAAAACUUCGAUGCGAAUGACAUACAGCUUGACAAAAAAAAAUGUAGUUCAGGUCUCAGUUUGGGUUAAUAAACCCAUUUCAGUGGCUUUUACUGUUACCUUCUGUUUGGCAAGUUGUUUGUUGGAGAAUUUCUCAGGCUGAGCCAAAGAAGGCAUAUUUAUCUCAUACAACAAAAUCUAAAUUAAUUGUAGAAGUUGAGGAGGACUAAGAGCACAGGAUUAAUUAAAACCCUCAGGUGAUCCUUACAUCUCAUUUUAUUUCAGUUUAUUUUCCUUCUAAAUUUUUUGCAGAGGUACAAGGAUAAAAUGAAAGGGAUUGAAUUAUAUAUCACUAUGACCUUUCUGUUUUAGACAUUGAUGAAGAUAAUAAGCAGUAAACAAGAGAAAGAGUCAGCAGCAGAAGAAGAAGAGAUCACGAUGAUCUAUGAGCAUGGCAAGCUUAGUAAAAUCAUUAUACCCAAUGCAGAAUGUUUAAUGAAGCAGUUGAGUCACAGCUCUUAAUUCACAAAACAAUAUUAUAACUCAAAGUCAAAUAUGUAUUCAUUGGCCAUGUACAUUCGUCGGAAUAUAAGAGCUGCCAAUGCCAAAGUCAGGAUGACAAUCAGUAUACCUGAUCCGCCAUGAUCCAUGUGGUUGUCUCUUGGCUGCUGGCCCUGUAUUACAUCUGGUGACAUCGAUGACCUUCUUUGGUUCUGCUGUUGGGCCCGGUGUUGUCGAGGGCUCAUGGAGGUAUUCUUAGCUGCAGGUUGGGUAAGUUGUUGAAAGGAUGCUGCUGAAGGAUUCUGGACUCCAUACGAAGUGCUGGCCAUAGCACCCUGGAAUGUUGUAGGUAUGUUAUCUUGUAAAUCAUUUAGUGAAAAGGAGUGGUUUAACUCUGACUCAGCAAUGGUCUUUCCAGAUGAAUUGACUUCUGCCUUAAAACUGAUUUGUCUUGCGAGUUCCUUGACUUCUUAGUCAGCCUGGCUUGAGUCCCUUUCCAAUUUUAAAGGCAACAGGACAUCCUUCAUGGCAGAGCCACAGCCUUCACAACAAAAUUCCUGUGAUUUUUUGGCAAGUGCUCUUCUUUCCUCAGGUGUGUAAUCUAGAGAACCUAUGGCUCCCUCUCCUUUUGUUGGCAUAAACCCAACGAUGGCCAGUAACGCUGUCCUUAUACUCCAUGAAGGCUGCCAAGUUUCAGGAUGAUGUCCUGAGAUGCUCAAACAGAUUUUCUUGCCCACUUCAAAUCUUCCAUUAGCUGUUAGGAGAAUAAUGCUUGGUGGUUUCAUGGGAUACUCUGGUGGUAGUACUAUUCGCCUAUGAUAAACACCUCCGUCAAAAUCAGAAUCUGGGGUCCCUCUUACUGUGAAGUGCCAUUCAAAAAGGUUAUCCUCUAAAGGCUGCGCAUGGUAAUGAUCUGUUGGAUCUUUCAAUUCUGCUGCUUCUCUCAUUAAACGUUUAACAGCCGGGCUCUUCAGGUUGUAGCGGGUCUCCAUGGAGGGGCACUGGACCGGCUCUGGGCUCCGGCCUGCGGCUCGGGCCGACGGGGCCUUCUCCAGGACCGCGGGCCGGAGGCGGGGUCUGUUUUUCAAUUAAAUACUUUAAAAUAGAAUUUGACAGUGAAUGUUCUCAUUUCACAUUUCUAUGACUCACUUGGUUACUGUGUGA